GUUUACCAAAAACAUGGCUUCUUGUAUAAAAUAAAUAAGGAGUCGGACCUGCCCGGUGAGGUGUUCUUUAACGGCCGCGGUACUCUGACCGUGCAAAGGUAGCAUAAUCAUUUGCCUUAUAAUUGAAGGCUGGUAUGAAUGGUUUGACAAGAAUAUAGCUGUCUCCUUACUGAUUUGUUAGAAUUUUAUUUUCGGGUGAAAAAGCCCGAAUUAAAUUAAAAGACAAGAAGACCCUAUCGAGCUUGAAAGAAUUCAAUUGAUAAAAAAUAAUCUGUAAAUUAAUAUAUAAGGUGGUGCAAUUGAAUAUUUUGGUUGGGGCGACUGAGGAACAUAAGAAGCUUCCUUCAAUUAAAGUUAGGACGCGCAAGUAUUGAUCCAAGUUUGUUGAUUAAGGGAAUUAGUUACCGUAGGGAUAACAGCAUUAUCUUUCUUGAGAGUUCAUAUCGAAAGAAGGGUUUGUGACCUCGAUGUUGGACCAGAAUGUCCUAAAGAUGCAGAAGUCUUUAAGGGUUGGUCUGUUCGACCAUUAAAAUUCUACGUGAUCUGAGUUCAGACCGG
rnacentral:rRNA from 1 species